rnacentral:rRNA from 1 species
UAUUGAUGCUAAAAGAAUGGAAAUUUAAAAAAAAACUUUUUUAAAAAUAAAAAUUGAAUUUUUUUUAAUUUGUGCAAAAACAAUUAUUAUUAUUAAAGACAAGAAGACCCUAAGAAUUUAUGAUUUUGCAAUUAGAAUUUUUUUCAAAAAAUCUUGAUUGGGGCGAUCAAAAAAUAUUAAUAACUUUUUAAAUUUAAAUUGAUCUAUUAUUAAUAAACUAAUGAAUUAAAUACUCUAGGGAUAACAGCGUAAUAAUUUUUGAUAGAUCUUAUUGACAAAAUAGUUUGCGACCUCGAUGAAGAA